CAAUUCUAUAAAAACAAUCAAUGAUGACUCUCUUUACAAUUCUAUAAGUGUGUCAUAAAGUUAUCAAAUCAUAUUCUAUUUGUUAUAUGCAAAGGGGAACAUAUAUAUUGCUAGACUUAUGAAGUUUAUUUAUGUUAUGAUCUACUUUCUUUUCUUAUUUCUUGUUGCAACAAACAGUAAACUUGACUGUCGUAAUGACCUUGACUGUAAAGAUAUUAAGUGUAAGCCUGGUUGGGUUGCACAAUGUAGUGUUACUAAUCGAUGUAGAUGUGUCCCUUCAUCUAAACCUGGAUCUGGACAUCCUUGGAGAACAAGACCCAAGAAAGUGCACAAAUUUUUUAUGAGAGUGGAAGACGAUGUAGAUAAUAUUAAUAUUGCAACAUGAAAUAAAUAAUAAAUAAUAUUAUUUACAUUGUCUUUCA